GGUCCAGUCAUAGUGAGGUGGCGGCUUCGGUCCAAUCGAUGUGUAGGCCUAUAAAAGAGAUAUACAGCCACAAACGCUCUAGACAUAAUCGUUUGAUCAUUCAGACUUCAGACGCUUUAUCGACACUGCAAAAGCCUACGUAUUCCAUUCAGCAAAAAGAUGUCGGGCAAAGGAUCCCAGGGUCAACAGACUACAGGUGGUUCCUACACAGGCACUGGAACAAGAGCUGACCUUAACAACCACGGAAACCAGUGCAACCCCAACCAUGGGGAGUACAAAGGCCAUAGCUCUUCCUACCAGGGAACUGGAACAAGGUCUGAUCUGAACAAUCACUCCAACCAAAUGAACCCAACCAACUCAGCCUAUAAGGGCAAGAAGUAGGGUGCCCUGGCUGACUGAGGCAUGCCUGUGCCUUCUCAGAUAAUCCUCUGAAGACCACAAAAGAACUUCUCGGCAGCCGAUGCAAAUCAUGGAAACAAGCGUGUUUAUAACUUUGCAAAAGUUUGGGGGAAUAACUGUUUGGAAAAAAAAUGGGAAUUUGAAAGGGUGGGAGGUGGAAUUAAGUUGGAAACUGUUUCUCAGUGUAUCGUCUUUAAUGUAGUUUGUGAUCUACAGUUGGAAAUCAAAAGACAAAACGCAUAGAGCACAUUAAAUUUCUGUCUGGGCAAAUGUUUCCUUGCUAACGAACUGAAUUACGUCAAGACGCUAUUAAAAA